GACGAACGCUGGCGGCGUGCCUAAUACAUGCAAGUUGAGCGCUGAAGGUUGGUACUUGUACCAACUGGAUGAGCAGCGAACGGGUGAGUAACGCGUGGGGAAUCUGCCUUUGAGCGGGGGACAACAUUGGGAAACGAAUGCUAAUACCGCAUAAAAACUUUAAACACAAGUUUAAAGUUUGAAAGAUGCAAUUGCAUCACUCAAAGAUGAUCCCGCGUUGUAUUAGCUAGUUGGUGAGGUAAAGGCUCACCAAGGCGAUGAUACAUAGCCGACCUGAGAGGGUGAUCGGCCACAUUGGGACUGAGACACGGCCCAAACUCCUACGGGAGGCAGCAGUAGGGAAUCUUCGGCAAUGGACGAAAGUCUGACCGAGCAACGCCGCGUGAGUGAAGAAGGGUUUCGGAUCGUAAAACUCUGUUGGUAGAGAAGAACGUUGGUGAGAGUGGAAAGCUCAUCAAGUGACGGUAACUACCCAGAAAGGGACGGCUAACUACGUG
rnacentral:rRNA from 1 species